UAUAUCGUUUGGCAAACCAUGCGAAAGCAUGGGGCGCAAAGCCAUGGGUCUACGGCCGAAGGGCCAGGAUUGCCAGGUUGCAGUA
rnacentral:ncRNA from 1 species